rnacentral:rRNA from 1 species
AACGCGAAGAACCUUACCUGGCCUUGACAUCCACGGAAUUCGGCAGAGAUGCCUUAGUGCCUUCGGGAACCGUGAGACAGGUGCUGCAUGGCUGUCGUCAGCUCGUGUUGUGAAAUGUUGGGUUAAGUCCCGCAACGAGCGCAACCCUUAUCCUUUGUUGCCAGCGCGUGAUGGCGGGAACUCAAAGGAGACUGCCGGUGACAAACCGGAGGAAGGUGGGGAUGACGUCAAGUCAUCAUGGCCCUUACGGCCAGGGCUACACACGUGCUACAAUGGCGCAUACAAAGAGAAGCGACCUCGCGAGAGCAAGCGGACCUCAUAAAGUGCGUCGUAGUCCGGAUCGGAGUCUGCAACUCGACUCCGUGAAGUCGGAAUCGCUAGUAA